rnacentral:rRNA from 1 species
GAUGAACGCUGGCGGCGUGCCUAAUACAUGCAAGUCGAGCGAACAGACGAGGAGCUUGCUCCUCUGACGUUAGCGGCGGACGGGUGAGUAACACGUGGAUAACCUACCUAUAAGACUGGGAUAACUUCGGGAAACCGGAGCUAAUACCGGAUAAUAUAUUGAACCGCAUGGUUCAAUAGUGAAAGACGGUUUUGCUGUCACUUAUAGAUGGAUCCGCGCCGCAUUAGCUAGUUGGUAAGGUAACGGCUUACCAAGGCAACGAUGCGUAGCCGACCUGAGAGGGUAAUCGGCCACACUGGAACUGAGACACGGUCCAGACUCCUACGGGAGGCAGCAGUAGGGAAACUUCCGCAAUGGGCGAAAGCCUGACGGAGCAACGCCGCGUGAGUGAUGAAGGUCUUCGGAUCGUAAAACUCUGUUAUUAGGGAAGAACAAAUGUGUAAGUAACUAUGCACGUCUUGACGGUACCUAAUCAGAAAGCCACGGCUAACUACGUG